CACUGAAGGGUCAAGAGGCCGUAACUGACUGUAUGUAACCUCCUCCUGAUUUCCAUAAUCAAUGUAGAAUACCUCAAACUUGUCUUUCAUGGAUUCCACAGCUCCACGAGGUGCAUUCACAAUCAUUGCUCGGUUCCAUGAAUUAUCCGCACUAAACUGAGCAAGAACAAUGUCUCCCUUCUUAGGAUUAAAAGCACCAAUAACAGGCGCUUCUUGGAGAUUCAGGGACGCAAGCUGUUGCUGAAUAGAGGCAACUUUUUGAUCCCCAACUGACUGGACAUAAAACCGACCACCACCUAGGACUUCUGUAACCACCACCUUUAUCACUUCUUUCUGUUUGCUUUCAACAGUUGGUACAUUAGAGACUUCCUCUCCUUCAACAUAAUUCUCCCAAAUUUUCAGUUUCUUCUUUUUU
rnacentral:misc_RNA from 1 species